GAUGUAUAUAUGAGAAGCAAAAGGAAGAACAGAAGAAGAAAAAAUGGAGUCUGGUCCUCCUCCCAACGAUCUCUGUUCAAUCUGCCAUGCCAACUUUCACAUUCCUUGUCAAGCCAAUUGCUCUCACUGGUUUUGUGCAAAUUGCAUCAUGCUCGUCUGGCAGCACGCAUCAGGAACAAGUUCUUGCAAAUGCCCUCUCUGUCGCCGACCCAUCACUCUCUUAAUCCCCACCGAACACUCUCUCAGUCAGCGUCAUGACCCUGAAGUUGCUCAGAUUCUCUCCAAAAUCCAUGCUUAUAACCGUGUCUUCGGUGGCCAACCCUCCUCUUUUUUUCAGAGAGUGCAAGAUCUUCCUUUUCUGUUGCACAGGCUGCUUCGGGAGUUCCUAAACCCCCAAAGAUCCCUUCCUCUUGUCAUCCGUGCUCGUGUCUUUGUUGCUAUGAUAGCAAGUGUUGUAUACAUCCUGAGUCCAAUUGACCUCAUUCCUGAAGCUAUAUUAGGAAUAGUUGGUCUCUUAGAUGAUGUCUUAAUUGGGCUGAUCUGCUUCCUACAUGUUGCUGCCCUUUAUAGAUCAGUUCUUUAUCUCCGUCAUGCGGGUUCCUGAACAUGUUCUGCAAAUUUUCAAUUCCUGCACUGAUUGAUGGGCAAAAUGGUAAAAGGAGUGAAUGGUAUGGUUUAUAUUUGUGUUGGAAAAGAAGGAGUGUGGGGAGCAGCGCAGGGGAGAAGAAGGAAGAGCGCAGAGAGAAGUGACAGCAACUGCCACCGCGUCGUCCGAAGAUCAAAUUCAACCGUCCCAUUUUCUUCGAUCUCUGUGUUUUUUACUGCACACUGCUAUGCCGUGACAAAUUCAAAAUUUUAGAUUUCAUAUGAUUGAUGAUCAAGAUCUGGGUUUCUUUGCCAAUUUUCUUGGCGUCUUCAUCUUUGUGCUGGUGAUAGCAUACCAUUUUGUUAUGGCUGACCCAAAGUUUGAAGGGAACUAGGAAAGCGUUUUAAGUUAAUGAUGUAAUUUUCGUUUUGUAGACUGAGAUUCUUUGCAAAUGGAUAUUUGAUGCAAUCAAGAACUCUAGUUUGGGAAUGCGAAUGUUAGCUUACGACUAAA